rnacentral:lncRNA from 1 species
GCCUCUCUCUUUUCUCCUCAUCACCUUCUCUCUCUGCUAGAGCCAGAAAUCCCAUCUCUGGCCAUUGCCUCUUGUCAUCGCCACCAUCAAUCAAACCCACAUCCAAAUCCGAUCAAAGCCCAACUAAAAUCACCGACAUGCACUGCCGGCAGCCUCCACACUCGAUACCCGAAGACUACGCGCCACCUCAACCCUAGCUAGUUUCCAGCCAUUUCUUCGCACUACCGCUACCAUGAAUCAAAGCACCAGGUUCAAGAGAGCAAAACCCGAACCAUAGCCUCAAAAUCCGAUGCCAGAAAAUGUUGUAUGAGCUUGCCAGAACCCGGGGCUUCGCAUGUCGUCGUUUUUCACUUCCCAGCCAUGUUUGAGUUACACGACCACCAUGGAUGAAGUCAGCACCUCAAUGUCUAGAAUAACCCUCUAACUCCGACCUCCACCGGCAAGAGCCACCGUACUCGCCGGCGGCGGCAUGUGAGCUGACCUAGCACCGCUGUGCAUCAUCGCUGGACUCCCAGACCUCCUUAACUAGGUAAUUUUGUCGUCUCUCUUUGGAUAAAGCCUGUUCAUCAUGAAUCGAAAACCCUAAUUUGCUGCUCUUUGAUUUGGAAUAUGAGGUAUUGUGGAGCCUGCAAUCUUGAGAUUUUUGGAGAGGAGAAGCUCCUGAGAGGCUGAGAUAGUUUUGAUUGAAAUAGGGAAAAAGGGAAUCUGAAUGAAUAAUGGUGGAAGAGGGCAGCUUCGAUGAUUUUAGCUUCUAAUUUGGAAAAGAAGAAUGUGAACAAAGAUCAGCGACGGAGGCAGGAACGUAUAUAAACGGGGGCAAAAACUUUUCUUUCCUUUCCGCCUCUCCUCUAUCCGCAAAGCAACUUCGGGCCGGUUUUGAAUGUGCAAACUGUAAAGAUGAUGACUAGGAGAAGGUCGAUCUCUAGUUUUUGGAGGAGGAGCAAAUGUGGGAUUGACUGGUUGAGGAAGAAGAAGAAGAACUGAAGAAGUGAGAAUUAAGAAGAAGAGAGAAUGAGAGGAAUCGUGUUGCUGAGGUAGAGGAAUAAUGGAAUAUUUAUAUUGCCACUUGGGAGGAGGAGCAAAUUUGGGAUUGACUGGCUGAGGAAGAAGAAGAACUGAAGAAGUGAGAAUUAAGAAGAAGAGAGAAGGAGAGGAAUCGUGUUGCUGAGGUAGAGGAAUAAUGGAAUAUUUAUAUUGCCACUUGGAGGAGGAGCAAAUUUGGGAUUGACUGGCUGAGGAAGAAGAAGAAGAACUGAAGAAGAGAGAAGGAGAGGAAUCGUGCUGCUGAGGUAGAGGAAUAAUGGAAUAUUUAUAUUGCCACUUGGAGAAGGAGCAAAUUUGGGAUGGACUGGCUGAGGAAGAAGAAGAUGAACUGAAGAAGUGAAAGAAAAAGGGAGAAGGAGAGGAAUUGUGCGGAAUCGUGCGUAGAGAAAUAACAGAAUACUUAUAUUGCCACUUGGAGGAGUACCCAUAUUAAUUAUUAAUAUAUUAUUAAUAUAACUUUUUUACUCCAGAACUUGUCCCUUCGGGGACAUCUGAUAAAAAUACCAGAACUUGAUGGGGGCAAAAAGAAGAUCAAUGAACAAAAUAUAUAAUUUUACUGGGGGCUGCUGCUCCCACUCAGCCUUAAUUGGCUCCGUCCCUGACAAAGAUGAAAGUGGUUGAAUACUUGAAUGUAUAGAGAGAAUUGGGUUGUCAAUUAAAUUGGUUUGUCUGUUAUUAAUUCUAAGAAAAUGUUGUUUUGUAAGAAUGGAC